UUGGUUUACAACAGGCUAGUGUCCCUUCGGGGACAUCCGAUAAAAUUGGAACGAUACAGAGAAGAUUAGCAUGGCCCCUGCGCAAGGAUGACACGCACAAAUCGAGAAAUGGUCCAAAUUUUUUUUUCUUCCUUUUUUGCCACAAUCUUUGGCAUCUGCUUUUACAAAAACACCCUCCUAAUUCGUCAGUUUCCCACAGUACCCCUGAUUUUUUCCACGUGUCUUCUCAUCCAUCUUGAGACUGACCAGAAACUUUACCGUGGAGCUCCCUCUGCAACUCCCAACUCUCUCUUUCAUCUCUGCGUUCCCCCCAACAAUUUGUCUACUCUCUCUCUCUCUCUCUCUCUCUCUCUCUGGACAUAUAAUAGAUAUAUGUGUAUAUAUUUACUCUAUAAAAUAAUUGUUAUGGUGACUGUUGAGGGCAACAAUUCUAACCCUCGAAACCAAGGGGCAAGAAAGGGACUAUUGGGCUGGUAGGAGGCUUGGAUGGGGCGCGGAACACUUGUGUCUCUUGGAGGAAACCUAAAAUCUUGUAUUGGUGAAGUAGCACUGUUGUUGCGCAAACCAGAUGAGAAUUAAAUUUUGAGAAUUUGUAUGUCCUGCUAAUUGAAAGAAGAAAGCUGUUCACAAGACAACCACCACAGAUGACAAGAGACUUCAAAGCACCCUGAAGAGAAUAGGGGGGAAUGCCAUUCCUGCAAUUGAGGAAGUCAACAUAUUCAAAGAUGAUGAUGUCUAAUCUAGUUUAUUAAUCCUAAAGCCUCUAUUGCUGCCAACACUUGGGUGGUUAGUGGUUCUCCUCAGACCAAGAAAUUGCAAGAUAUUCUUCCUGAAAUUAUUAAUCAAAUGGGUAUGUACCUGUGUCUUUACAGCUAUUUUUUGUUCCUGUUUAUUUCCCUUCACUGGAACUCAUAAGAGAAAUGAAAAGAUUGGUUAAAUAUGACCUUUUGUUUCAUCUUUUUAAGACCUGAUAACUUGGGCAACUUGAGGGAUUAAGCUGGCAGAGCUGUUCCAAAAAGAGGCACCUGGUUCCGGAGCAGGUUCGGCCACGGCAACAGCACAAGAGGAUGAUGAUAAUGAGGUCCCAGAGCUUGUGGCUGGGGAGACCUUUGAAGCUGCUUGCUGAGGAGUGGAACAAGUCUUUACAAGAUUUGGUCUAUACAAAAGAGGGUCCAAAGUCCAAACGCUAGUUUCUGCAUUUGUCUACCACACUCCGCCUCUUUUUCUGAUCAUAUAACAGUUAUAUUGUAACUCAAGUAUGUAUGUAAUUCGUUUAGAUACUAUGCUUGGAGCAUCCACAGCCAAGCCUACUUUGGAUAAUGGCUUUUGCUGUGGCGAAUGAAAUAGUAGCGACAAUUGCUUAAAGGGUCUUUGUGUCCAUUUAUGUUUUUAAAAGAAAAAGUGAUGGUGUGGGUGGGGGGUGUGAAAUAAAUAGUGUAUGUAUUUGUUUCAGUUUUAUUGUAUAUG